rnacentral:rRNA from 1 species
AUUGAACGCUGGCGGCAUGCCUUACACAUGCAAGUCGAACGGUAACAGGUCUUCGGAUGCUGACGAGUGGCGAACGGGUGAGUAAUACAUCGGAACGUGCCUAGUAGUGGGGGAUAACUACUCGAAAGAGUGGCUAAUACCGCAUGAGAUCUACGGAUGAAAGCAGGGGAUCGCAAGACCUUGUGCUACUAGAGCGGCCGAUGGCAGAUUAGGUAGUUGGUGGGAUAAAAGCUUACCAAGCCGACGAUCUGUAGCUGGUCUAAGAGGACGAUCAGCCACACUGGGACGGAGACACGGCCCAGACUCCUACGGGAGGCAGCAGUGGGGAAUUUUGGACAAUGGGCGCAAGCCUGAUCCAGCAAUGCCGCGUGCAGGAUGAAGGCCUUUGGGUUGUAAACUGCUUUUGUACGGAACGAAAAGCCCUGGGUUAAUACCCUGGGGUCAUGACGGUACCGUAAGAAUAAGCACCGGCUAACUACGUGCCAGCCGCCGCCGUAA